CUUUGGGAUAACCCUCGGAAACGGGGGCUAAUACCGGAUAUGACCUGCUGCCGCAUGGUGGUGGGUGGAAAGUUUUUUCGGCCUGGGAUGGGCUCGCGGCCUAUCAGCUUGUUGGUGGGGUGAUGGCCUACCAAGGCGAUGACGGGUAGCCGGCCUGAGAGGGCGACCGGCCACACUGGGACUGAGACACGGCCCAGACUCCUACGGGAGGCAGCAGGGGGGAAUAUUGCACAAUGGGCGGAAGCCUGAUGCAGCGACGCCGCGUGAGGGAUGAAGGCCUUCGGGUUGUAAACCUCUUUCAGCAGGGACGAAGCGCAAGUGACGGUACCUGCAGAAGAAGCGCCGGCCAACUACGUGCCAGCAGCCGCGGUAAGACGUAGAGCGCGAGCGUUGUCCGGAUUUAUUGGGCGUAAAGAGCUCGUAGGCGGCUUGUCGCGUCGACUGUGAAAACCUGCGGCUUAACUGUGGGCUUGCAGUCGAUACGGGCAGGCUAGAGUUCGGUAGGGGUGACUGGAAUUCCUUGUGUAGCGGUGAAAUGCGCAGAUAUCAGGAGGAACACCGGUGGCGAAGGCGGGUCUCUGGGCCGAUACUGACGCUGAGGAGCGAAAGCGUGGGGAGCGAACAGGAUUAGAUACCCUGGUAGUCCACGCUGUAAACGUUGGGCGC
rnacentral:rRNA from 1 species